rnacentral:tRNA from 1 species
AUCUUUGUAGUUUAGUGUUAAAAUGUGAUUUUGAAGUGAUCGAGAGAAUUGGAGAUG